UGGGGAAUUUUGGACAAUGGGGGAAACCCUGAUCCAGCGACGCCGCGUGGAGGACGAAGGUCUUCGGAUUGUAAACUCCUUUUGGAGGGGACGAAUGCCUGAGCGAAUAGUUCAGGGUGACUGUACCCUUCGAAUAAGCCACGGCUAACUACGUGCCAGCAGCCGCGGUAAUACGUAGGUGGCAAGCGUUACUCGGAAUCACUAGGCGUAAAGCGCAGGUAGGCGGUUUGGCAAGUCUGUUGUGAAAGCUCCCGGCUUAACUGGGAGAGGUCAACGGAAACUGCCAGGCUUGAGUAUGGUAGAGGAAGCUGGAAUUCCCGGUGUAGCGGUGAAAUGCGUAGAGAUCGGGAGGAACACCUAUGGCGAAAGCAGGCUUCUGGGCCAUUACUGACGCUGAGCUGCGAAAGCUAGGGGAGCAAACAGG
rnacentral:rRNA from 1 species